AUCAUUUGAAAAGUAAAAGUAAUAUCCUAUUGAUUUCUUAGGAUAUCCUAUGAAGCAAGCUUUUAUAGACCUAGCCUCUAAGUUGUCAGUAAUUUAUCUUUUGACAUAGGUUGAAUAUCCCUAAAUCUUGAGAUAACUCAGAUUUGAUUUCUUACCACGUCAUAUCUCAAACAGUAUGCUAGGAACGAAAUUAAAAAAAAAUCUUAUUUAGAAAAUAAAUAAUGAUUAGUAGGGCAUGACCUUAAAGAUACAUGGGUAAGUCAGUGAAGCUCAUCAU
rnacentral:lncRNA from 1 species